rnacentral:tRNA from 1 species
GGCCAGUUAGCUCAGUCGGUUAGAGCAUGGUGCUGAUAACGCCAAGGUUGUGGGCUUGAUCCCCGUUUGGUCC